rnacentral:lncRNA from 1 species
CGGAAUAUUUUUUAUUAAAAAAAAUAGGUGUUUAUACUUUAUAGAAACGUUAAAACAUUGAGAGGGAUCUCAUAGCCUCGUUAACCAAAAUCAAAAUCUAUGAAGAUUAGACCCAAAUUAAGAUUUGAAUAAAGCAUGUAAUACUAACCAAGUUGUUCCAUUUAUUUGCAACUCCAGAAUCCAUUGAUCAAGUUAGACUUGGCAGGUGCGCUCUGAGAAGAAUAAUGAAGCACAACAGACACAUUUAAGAUAACAUAGUAGCAAAAGUAAUGGAACUACUAUUGCAUUAUGAAACUUCAGAUCCUAACAUAGUAUCAUGACUUGAAUUUGACAGUCCAUUAAAAAUAAUUGUUCUUUAAAAAAAUGCCCUGAACUUGUUGAAGGAUGAUCAUGGUCUGUAACUGCAAUCCUAAAAAUAAAUACUAAAAUUAAAUUACUUUUACAUCACAUAUAUACCUUAAAAUCC